rnacentral:sRNA from 1 species
GGUGUUUCCCCAGGAUCUGCUGGAGAAAGGCCUCGAAGCAAACAACUUUGCCAUGCUGGGACUUGGAGAUGUCGUCAUUCCAGGGAUCUUCAUUGCCUUGCUGCUGCGCUUUGACAUCAGCUUGAAGAAGAAUACCCACACCUACUUCUACACCAGCUUUGCAGCCUACAUCUUUGGCCUGGGCCUUACCAUCUUCAUCAUGCACAUCUUCAAGCAUGCUCAGGUGAUUAUGAGGAGUCAAAUCCUAAGGAUCCAGCGGCAGUGACAGAAUCCAAAGAGGGAACAGAGGCAUCAGCAUCGAAGGGGCUGGAGAAGAAAGAGAAAUGAUGCGGCUGGUGCCCGAGCCUCUCAGGGCCAGACCAGACAGAAUGGGGGCUGGGCCCACACAGGCGUGCACGGGCAGAGGGCACAGGAGGCCGAGGGCAGCUCCAGGACAGGGCAGGGGCAGCAGGAUAACUCCAGCCAGGCCUCUGUGGCCUCUGUUUCCCUCUCCCUUUCUUGGCCCUCCUCUGCUCCUCCCCACACCCUGCAGGCAAAAGAAACCCCCAGCUUCCCCCCUCCCCGGGAGCCGGGUGGGAAAAGUGGCUGUGAUUUUUAGAUUUUGUAUUGUGGACUGAUUUUGCCUCACAUUAAAAACUCAUCCCAUGGCCAGGGUGGGCCACUGUGCUCCUGGAA